rnacentral:rRNA from 1 species
UACGAAGGGGGGCGAGCGUUGUUCGGAUUUACUGGGCGUAAAGGGCGCGCAGGCGGCCAUUCAAGUCAGGCGUGAAAGCCCCGGGCUUAACCUGGGAGGUGCGCUUGGGACUGGAUGGCUAGAGAUCGGGAGAGGAGAGUGGAAUUCCCAGUGUAGAGGUGAAAUUCGUAGAUAUUGGGAAGAACACCGGUGGCGAAGGCGGCUCUCUGGACCGAUACUGAGCGCUGAGG